GACGAACGCUGGCGGCGUGCUUAACACAUGCAAGUCGAACGGAAAGGCCCUUCUUUUGUGGUGUGCUCGAGUGGCGAACGGGUGAGUAACACGUGAGUAACCUUCCCUUGACUUUGGGUUAACUUCCGGAAACUGGGGCUAAUACCCGAUAGGAGCUCCUGCUGCAUGGUGGGGGUUUGAAAGUUUCGGCGGUUGGGGAUGGACUCGCGGCUUAUCAGCUUGUUGGUGGGGUAGUGGUUUACCAAGGCUGUGACGGGUAGCCGGCAUGAGAGGGUGACCGGCCACAUGGGGACUGAGAGACGGACCAGACUCCUACGGGAGGCAGCAGUGGGGAAUAUUGUACAAUGGGCGGAAGCCUGAUGCAGCAACGCCGCGUGCGGGAUGAAGGCCUUCGGGUUGUAAACCGCUUUCGCCUGUGACGAAGCGUGAGUGACGGUAAUGGGUAAAGAAGCACCGGCUAACUACGUG
rnacentral:rRNA from 1 species